UGACAAAUUCUCCUUAGGGUUUCGAUCUCCUCUCUCCAGCGACAAUCUCUUUCCCAGACGUCAAUGUUUUCGCUCCCUUCCAGCUUCUUGUGUGCUCUUUUUGAAAUUUGCAAUUCAUGCUACAUUUUCUCUUAGGAGAGAUUCAAUUGCAGGAGAUCAAUACAAGUUGUUGAACAGUGCUCAUGUGGCCUCACUCUCAUUCAAGGAGCUGGUGCCAAAGGAGCAGUUUGUUCAGAUGGAACAUUGCCUGGAUAUCAUUUGCAUCAUGGGUAUGGUUCAGGAGCAAAAUAGUUGGCUCAUUCAGUUGGAGGAUUGUAAUAUAAAUUCUUUUUGAGUCUUCAUCACCAGUAAGAAAAAAGGAAAAUAAAAUCAUUGAAUUUCUGGAGGAAAAACUCUGCAACUCUUUAAAAAUGCUUUUCUAUUGCUUUAUGCCGUCAAUGUUCUUUUUAUGGUUCUUUUGGGAUUAAUAGUAUGUUAUUGACAUGGUUGAACAUCAGCAGAUCCCCACGGCUAUUACCACGGUUGCAGGUUAAACCAAGCGAAAUGCACUCCAUCACGGAUUAGAUUUUUACAAGGUGAAUUAUGUAUGAAUAUGAAAGUAUUUUGAGCUUUCACAUCUAUAUGUGCUUUAAGCUGCUUCAGGAACCAAAGUGUUGAAUGCAAUCAAAGUUUUCUCAAUGUCUAGACAGAAUGGCUUAUUUAUAAAUUCAUGUUUUUCUCACUGCCAAUCCGAGAGGCAAGAUACAUGGUUUCUCAAUGAUUCUCCUGUUGUUGGUAACCAGGCGGUUGCAAUAGCUGUUGGAGAUUGGUAUUUUGAUUGCACAGGCGUUAAGGUCAUUGAUUGUGCUUACCCUUGUGACAAAACUUGCCCAAUCUAAUUUUCAGAGCCUAAUUUAAUCAGUUGGAAUCAAUUUAAAUGGUCUAUGUGUAAGUGUAUCCCAUAUUCUACCCAUCAUUCAUUAAAUGCACUUACAAUUCAACCAAGGAUGAAAGUAGAGACAACAAACAGAGGAUUGCUGAGAAAUGCAAAUGCAACCAGCAAUCCUUUUCCAUA